rnacentral:rRNA from 1 species
AUGGACGCGCGGUUCCCGCACUCGCCGGCCGAGGUGGCCAAGGUCAAGCUCGUCCAGUUCGGCGUGCUCAGCCCCGAUGAGAUCAGACAAAUGUCGGUGGUCAUGAUAGAGCAUGCGGAGACUACGGAGAGGGGCAAGGUGAAGUCCGGGGGUCUGAGCGACCCCCGUUUGGGCACCAUUGACCGGAAACUCAAGUGCGACACAUGUAUGGCUGGGAUGGCCGAGUGCCCGGGCCACUUUGGCCACCUCGAGCUUGCGAAGCCCAUGUUCCAUAUCGGCUUCAUCAAGACCGUGCUCUCUGUAAUGCGCUGCGUGUGCUUCAAUUGCUCCAAGAUCCUCGCGGACGAGGAAGAUACCAAGUUCCAGCAGGCUCUGAAAAUCAAGAACCCCAAAAAUAGAUUAAGAAGAAUUUAUGAUGCUUGCAAGAGCAAAAAGGUUUGCUCUGGGGGUGAAGACCUUGAGGGUCAGGAUCAGCAGGACACUGAAGAGCCAGUGAAGAAAAAAGGUGGUUGUGGGGCUCAGCAGCCAAAUAUCACAGUUGAUGGUAUGAAGAUGGUUGCAGAGUUUAAAACAACAAAGAAGAAAAAUGAUGAGCAAGAUCAACUCCCGGAACCAGUGGAGCGAAAGCAAAUUCUCUCCGCCGAGAGGGUCCUUAAUGUUCUCAAGCGUAUAAGUGACGAGGACUGUCUUUUAUUGGGCCUGAACCCUGAAUUUGCUCGUCCUGAUUGGAUGAUACUGCAAGUCCUCCCAAUUCCUCCGCCCCCUGUGAGACCAUCUGUCAUGAUGGAUACUUCCUCCAGAAGCGAGGAUGAUUUGACUCAUCAAUUAGCGAUGAUAAUUCGACAUAAUGAGAAUUUGAGGAGGCAAGAGAGAAAUGGAGCCCCAGCUCACAUUAUAACAGAGUUUGCUCAGCUGUUGCAGUUUCACAUUGCAACAUACUUCGAUAAUGAUCUUCCUGGACAACCAAGGGCCACUCAGCGUUCUGGAAGGCCUAUUAAGUCGAUUUGCAGCAGGCUGAAAGCAAAAGAAGGCCGGAUUAGAGGAAAUUUAAUGGGGAAGCGUGUUGAUUUCUCAGCUCGUACCGUCAUCACACCAGAUCCGAAUAUCAACAUUGAUCAAUUGGGGGUGCCAUGGAGUAUUGCUUUGAAUCUGACAUACCCAGAAACUGUCACUCCAUACAACAUUGAGAGGUUGAAAGAACUAGUAGAAUAUGGGCCUCACCCUCCCCCAGGCAAGACAGGAGCGAAGUACAUUAUUAGGGAAGAUGGCCAGAGGCUGGAUCUUCGCUAUGUGAAGAAAAGUAGCGAUCAGCAUUUGGAGCUUGGUUACAAGGUGGAAAGGCACCUCAAUGAUGGAGAUUUUGUUCUUUUCAACCGACAACCCAGUCUCCACAAAAUGUCUAUCAUGGGCCAUCGCAUUAAAAUUAUGCCCUACUCGACUUUUCGCCUGAACUUGUCUGUCACUUCACCGUACAAUGCUGAUUUUGAUGGGGAUGAAAUGAAUAUGCAUGUUCCUCAGUCAUUUGAGACCAGAGCUGAAGUUUUAGAGUUGAUGAUGGUGCCGAAAUGUAUUGUGUCACCUCAAGCAAAUAGACCUGUCAUGGGUAUUGUCCAGGACACACUUCUUGGGUGUCGAAAAAUGACCAAAAGGGAUACUCUCAUCGAAAAGGAUGUAUUUAUGAACAUCUUAAUGUGGUGGGAAGAUUUUGAUGGGAAGGUCCCAGCCCCUACCAUUUUGAAACCAAGGCCGAUUUGGACUGGCAAACAAGUUUUCAACUUGAUCAUCCCCAAGUUAAUUAAUUUAAUUAGAUUUUCAGCCUGGCACGCUGAAACAGAAAAUGGAUUUACAACUCCUGGUGAUACUGUGGUCCGGAUAGAGAAGGGAGAGCUUCUAUCUGGUACACUUUGCAAAAAAACACUUGGGGCAUCAAGUGGAAGUCUUAUUCAUGUUAUUUGGGAAGAGGUAGGUCCAGAUGCGGCACGGAAGUUCUUGGGUCAUACACAGUGGCUGGUCAACUAUUGGCUUCUGCAAAAUGGUUUCAGUAUUGGGAUCGGGGAUACAAUUGCAGAUGCAGAUACUAUGGAAAAAAUUAAUGAGACAAUCGCAAACGCCAAGAUUGAAGUGAAUGGGCUUAUUAAGCAAGCGCAAGAGAAGGAGCUGGAACCUGAGCCAGGACGCACGAUGAUGGAAUCGUUUGAAAAUAGAGUAAAUCAGGUCCUUAACAAGGCUCGUGAUGAAUCUGGCAGUAGUGCCCAGAAGAGUUUGUCCGAGAGCAACAAUUUGAAAGCUAUGGUCACUGCAGGCUCAAAAGGCAGUUUCAUUAAUAUUUCACAAAUGACUGCUUGUGUCGGACAGCAGAACGUUGAGGGCAAGCGGAUUCCAUUUGGUUUUGUUGAUCGUACCUUGCCCCACUUCACGAAAGAUGACUACGGCCCCGAAAGCCGUGGAUUUGUGGAGAACUCUUACCUUCGAGGCCUGACACCACAGGAAUUUUUCUUCCAUGCUAUGGGUGGUAGAGAAGGUUUGAUUGAUACUGCUGUGAAAACUUCUGAGACAGGAUAUAUUCAGCGGAGGCUCGUGAAGGCUAUGGAGGACAUCAUGGUGAAAUAUGAUGGUACCGUGAGAAACUCCCUUGGCGAUGUCAUUCAAUUCUUGUAUGGAGAAGACGGCAUGGAUGCUGUUUGGAUUGAAUCCCAGAAACUGGACUCCCUGAAGAUGAAAAAGGAUGAGUUUGAUAAUGUGUUCCGUUAUGAACUGAAUGAUAUGAACUGGAAGCCUAAUUACAUGCUGCCUGACCAUGUUGAGGAUUUGAAGACUAUUCGUGAAUUCAGAAAUGUGUUUGAGGCAGAGCUUCAGAAAUUGGAAGUUGACAGAUUACAACUUGGGCAAGAAAUUACCACAACUGGCGAGGGUACAUGGCCUAUGCCUGUCAACCUCAAGCGGCUUAUCUGGAAUGCUCAGAAGACUUUCAAGAUUGAUCUAAGAAAACCUUCUGACAUGCACCCAAUGGAAAUCGUGGAAGCAAUUGAUAAGCUGCAAGAAAGGCUCAAGGUUGUCCCUGGCGACGACGCCAUGAGCAUUGAGGCUCAGAAGAACGCUACUCUGCUCUUCAAUAUCCUGCUUCGCAGCACAUUUGCUAGCAAGAGGGUCUUGAAAGAAUACAGGCUUACAAAGGAAUCUUUCGAAUGGGUCAUUGGUGAGAUUGAAUCGAGAUUCCUGCAGUCUUUGGUGGCUCCUGGUGAAAUGAUUGGAUGUGUGGCUGCACAGUCCAUUGGAGAACCAGCAACUCAGAUGACGCUGAAUACUUUCCAUUAUGCUGGUGUUAGUGCUAAGAAUGUUACCCUUGGUGUUCCCAGAUUAAGAGAGAUUAUCAACGUCGCCAAGAAGAUAAAGACUCCAUCUCUGUCUGUCUUCCUAAAGCCUGGGGUGAACAGCAGGAAAGAAUCGGCCAAGAAUGUCCAGUGUGCCCUGGAGUACACCACGCUGCGUAGUGUGACCCAUGCCACUGAGAUAUGGUAUGAUCCUGAUCCUCUAGGAACCCUCAUUCCCGAGGAUGUGGACUUUGUCAGGUCAUACUAUGAGAUGCCCGAUGAGGAUGUCGACCCGGAUAAGAUGUCUCCUUGGCUGCUGCGUAUUGAACUGAACCGCGAGAUGAUGGUUGAUAAGAAGUUGAGCAUGGCUGAUAUUGCAGAGAAGAUCAAUCAUGAGUUUGAUGACGACUUGUCAUGCAUAUUCAACGAUGACAACGCGGAUAAGCUCAUCCUUCGUGUCCGUAUCGCAAACGACGAAGCUCCUCCAAAAGGAGGAGAGGCACAGGGUGAAUCUGCCGAGGACGAUGUCUUCCUCAAGAAGAUUGAGGGGAACAUGUUGACUGAGAUGGCCCUUCGAGGCAUUCCAGAUAUUAACAAGGUCUUCAUCAAAAAGGGGAAGGUGAAUAAAUUUGAUGAGAAGGAAGGUUUCAAAGGAGAAGAGGAGUGGAUGCUUGAUACAGAAGGUGUAAACCUCUUGGCCGUCAUGUGUCAUGAGGACGUUGAUCCUUCUAGGACAACAAGUAAUCAUUUGAUUGAAGUGAUUGAGGUUCUUGGCAUCGAGGCUGUCCGUAGGUCCCUCUUGGAUGAGCUGAGGGUGGUGAUAUCUUUUGAUGGGUCUUAUGUCAACUACCGGCAUCUGGCCAUUCUCUGCGAUAUGAUGACGUACAGAGGUCACCUGAUGGCGAUUACUAGGCACGGCAUAAAUCGUAACGACACAGGGCCUCUCAUGAGAUGUUCUUUUGAAGAGACGGUGGAUAUCCUGCUUGAUGCUGCUGUAUAUGCUGAAUCUGAUUACCUGAGAGGUGUCACAGAGAACAUUAUGCUUGGCCAGCUUGCACCUAUUGGUACAGGAGGGUGUGGAUUGUAUCUGAAUGACCAGAUGCUGAAGCAGGCCAUUGAGCUCCAACUCCCGAGCUAUAUUGACACUCUGGACUAUGGUGUCACACCGGCGCGUUCACCCUCUGGGACACCGUACCAUGAUGGAAUGAUGUCUCCAUUGCUGAGCCCGAAUUUCCGGGUUUCCCCCCUCACAGAUGCUCAGUUCUCGCCGUAUGUUGGCGGCAUGGCGUUCUCGCCCAUGCCGUCGAAUUACAGCCCGUCCUCGGGGGGUUACAGUCCAUCUUCUCCGGUGUUCAGCCCAGGGCCAGGACACAGCUACAGCCCCACUUCUCCGUCAUACAGCCCCGCAUCACCCAGCUACAGCCCUGCAUCGCCAUCAUAUACUCCUGGCUCUCCUUCCUACAGUCCGAGCAGUCCAUCAUACUCUCCAACCAGUCCAUCAUACUCUCCCACAUCUCCGAGCUACAGCCCCACAUCUCCUAGCUACAGUCCAACCUCUCCGGCAUACUGUCCCACUUCGCCAAGCUACAGUCCAACCUCUCCGGCAUACUGCCCGACAUCUCCUGCAUACAGCCCGACCUCUCCAGCAUACUGCCCGACGUCUCCGGCAUACAGCCCGUUGUCGCCAUCUUAUAACCCAACGUCGCCAUCUUAUAGUCCGACAUCUCCUUCAUACAGCCCGACUUCACCAUCUUAUAGCCCAACAUCGCCAUCAUACAGCCCCACAUCUCCUUCAUACAGCCCUUCAUCACCAACUUAUAGCCCGACGUCGCCCUCAUACAGACCGACAUCGCCCUCGUACAGCCCGACAUCACCUGCAUACAGUCCGUCAUCGCCUGGUUACUGCCCGACGUCACCGAGCUACAGCCCUACUUCACUGAGCUACAGCCCUUCGUCGGCCAAGUACAGUCCUUCAAAUAUCUAUUCUCCAAGCAGCCCAAGGAUGAUGAGCCCGUACAGUCAGACUUCUCCAAACUACAGCCCGACCUCACCGUCUUACUCGCCCACCUCACCGUCGUAUGCGCAACCAAGCCCGUCAUACAGCCCGGCAAGCCCGAUCACUACCUCUGGAGGACCUAGCCCAGAUUACACCCCAACUUCUCCAAACUACAGCCCCACUGCAAGCUACUCCCCCACCGCACCGGGCUACUCGCCGAUAUCCACCGAGCCGCAAACUAGUGACAAGGACGAGGAGACUGCUCCCUGA